rnacentral:rRNA from 1 species
UACGGGGGGAGCAAGCGUUGUUCGGAUUUACUGGGCGUAAAGGGCGGGUAGGCGGCCACCGCAAGUCAGUUGUGAAAUCUCUGGGCUUAACCCAGAAAGGUCAACUGAUACUGCGGGGCUAGAGUGCAGAAGGGGCAACUGGAAUUCUCGGUGUAGCGGUGAAAUGCGUAGAUAUUGGGAGGAACACCAGUGGCGAAGGCGGCUCGCUGGACCGGUUCUGACGCUGAUGCGCGAAAGCGUGGGGAGCAAACGGG